UAGCUCAAAUUGUCCUUUUACCUAGC
rnacentral:piRNA from 1 species